CUCUUUUCCGGAUUCGAUUUU
rnacentral:piRNA from 1 species